UACGAAGGGGGCUAGCGUUGCUCGGAAUUACUGGGCGUAAAGGGCGCGUAGGCGGAUGCUUAAGUCGGGGGUGAAAGCCCAGGGCUCAACCCUGGGAUUGCCUUCGAUACUGGACAUCUUGAGUGCGGGAGAGGUGAGUGGAACUCCGAGUGUAGAGGUGAAAUUCGUAGAUAUUGGGAAGAACACCAGUGGCGAAGGCGGCUCACUGGACCGUAACUGACGCUCAUGCACGACAGCGUGGGGAUCAAACAGG
rnacentral:rRNA from 1 species